UGUCACCCUCACCAACCACACCUUCCCAGCCCCCCACCCCCACCCCGGCACUGGGGAAGCGGCUCAUUGGGUCUGGCUGCUUCUUGGGGCUGGGGGUAGUGGCAGGGCUACCCUAUGUCCGGCUGUCUCAGAAAUUCUGAAUUCCACCAAGUUCAGGGACAGAAAGAGGGGGAGGGAACAGGCCUGCCUCCGGGAGCGCUCUGCGCCCACCCCAGGCCCUCAGCAGGUGGAAUGUGGUCCCUCUACGCUCCUGGGGCGAAGUCAGGGAAAGGCAUUUGGGGACACAGAACUCUCGGCCAGUGCUUGGGGAAGGCAACCAUCAGCAGCCCCCGCAGAGCGAAAUCGGAGCCUAAGCCAUCCCCACGGCCAGAUUCCAGCCCAGGCCAGCUCCUCUCUGGUUCUGUCCCAGUCCCCGGCAAACCUCGGAGGCGGCUGGGCUGAGCCGGGAGUGGGGCGCAGCAGUGGAGGUGGGCGGGGGCUCGCAGGUGCUGGGCACGCCCUGGCUGCGGUGGCAGAAAAUGCAAACCCGGGCUGAGGACGCGACGUCUUCCCAAAGGAGCGGAUUUCUUAUUCCUGCAAAGGAAGGGAAUGAGCGGAGGCCAUCUGCAUAAGGCCAGGAAGCUGGACAGAGCCUGGCAGCUGUCGCCUCCCCCAACAAUGAAGUCAGCCUCAACAUGGGGUAAAUGGAGAGCGGUGGGGCUUGAAGCCCCGCAGCUAAAAGGGGCCUGAAUGCCGAGCUCAGGCACUGGCAGGCAGGCGAAAGGAGCCUGGUCGACGGGCAGUGACCUGGGUCAUUGGCUGUCCUGUGCCCUGGGCGAGGAGGCUGGGCUGAGGACAGCCAUGAGGCCCCUGGCCGGAGCCGCGUGACAGGGCCCGAGAGGAGGGGAUCCAUCUGACCAGUGUUUAUGGGCUGAGAUUUGGGCGGCACCUGGUGACGGACAGGAGGUGCCAGUUGAGGGAUAGGCAGGGGGUGAGGAUUAGGGCCGCAGUUCUGGCCUGGGGCUGCUGGGGGAUGCCACCCAGAGGUCAGUUAGUGUCCCGUGGAGGCCGAGGGCAGGUGGCAUACAGUGAGAGCCCAGAGCCUCCCCUCUGGCCUGGGGUGGUUCAGUCCUGGGCGAGUUAGUGCUCCUUGGUGGUGGUGGUGGUGGGGAGAAGCAGGAAUGGCAGGUGGUGGGCAGAAGCCUGGGGCCUCUGGGGCAGGGAGGUGGGCCCGGCCGAGGGGGCCCCGGGAAGGGCGCGUAUCUGGACAUGAGGGGUGAGGCUCGCGAGUGCCCUGAGCUGACUCACCCAGCCCCCGACUCCAACCCUGUCCCCACAGCUGCCACGCAGGGGACAGGAUAUGGAGGAGUGCGGGUGGGAAAGGAGGGAUGCCUGAGUGCCUGAAUUCUGCCCAAGGGGCACCCCCCUUGGGCGCUGUUCCUAGACCCAGGCGGAGACUGGUAACUUUCUUUUUUUAAUAUAGAUUUAUUUAUUUAUUUAUUUGAGAGGCAGAGCUACAGAGAGAGAGGGAGAGACAGAAAGAGAGAGAGAAAAUCUCCCAUUUGCUGGUUCACUCCCUAAAUGGCCACAAAGGCUGGAGCUGGGCUGGUCCAAAGCCAGGAGCCAGGAGCUUCUUCUGGGUCUCCCACGCGGCUGCAGGGGCCCAAGCACUUGGACCAUCCUCCACUGCUUUCCCAGGCCAUCAGCAGGGAUCUGGUUUGGAAGUGGAGCAGCCAGGACUUGAACUGGUGCCAAUAUGGAUGCUGGCACCACAGGCAGUGGCUUUGCCCGUUACGCCAUAGCAUCAGCCCCAGAGACUGAUAACUUCUGAUUGGCUCCUGGCAUCCCUGAUGAUCUCAUUGUCCAAUCAGGAGGCAGCCCAGGUGGGAAAAUACUUGUUUGGCUUCGAGUUGACUGUGCGGUCCCCCAGAGCUGGGCUUGUGUCUGGACACCAGGGGUUACUUUUGAACGCUUCCUGGUGGCAGGCACAGCACCGAUACCAGGGCUCCCACCUUGCAGGGAUGGGGUGGUCACAGAGCACGACCCCGUCUCAUCCAUGCAAAACUGGGGCCGGACUGCGGGGAGGAUCCCACACCCCUUGCCGGCGGAGGUCUGAGCGGGUCACAGCGGGUCACAGCAGGAGCAGGACGGUGACAACGCCAGGCAAAGGGCUGUGAGCCCCAGGAGGGCAGGAGGACUCGUGUGCUCACGGCACAGCCCUGUGCCCUGGGGCUGGGUCAUUCCACCCUCCCAGGCGUCCCCACUUUACAGAUGGGUAAAGCAAGCCGCAGGGAGGUGAAGGAUUUAUCCUGAGUGCCAGGGCUCCCAAGAGUGGCAGGGCCAGGGGACCUGUGAGGCCAUGGUGGGCAUGAGGAGCGCGGUGUCCAUGUGUCGUGGAGGAGAGGCUGGGGCUCGGACCCCCCUUGCCAGCACCCGCUUUCCCGCCUCCCUGAACCGGUGGCUCAGCAGCAGGAGAGGAUCGCGUAGGAUCGCACAGUGAGACGGCAGCAUGCCGACUGGAAACACCAGCGGGGGUCACACAAGGUGAGCGCCCAGAAAGUGAAGGCCCCCUCCCCCGAAACCAUCCGACCCCCACCCCACCCACCGCCCACACCCAGGCCGCCUGCCCUGGCUGCAGCCCGCGGUGUUGGGCGCGGUGCCUGGCUGACGGGACAGGAGUUUCCUGGUGCCCACGGGUUUAAAAUAGCUGAAGUGGUCACAGCUGUUGGCGGAUUCAGGGCCGGAGGUCUCCCAUGGCUCCCCUGGGGCCCGGAAGAGCCACGAGGCACCUCCUGGUGGCGUUGGUGGGGGGAACGCUGGGUCCACAGCCCGCCCAGCUCCUGUCCUUCGGCCCCUGCCAAGCCUGUGGCCAGAGGGCCGGUGGGUGAGAGGGCGGUCCUGAGCCGCCUCCUGCUGGGGUCUUUUCCUGGGGGCACAGAGUCGCUGGCCAGCGGGGAGAGAAGGGCGUGGCCUCUGACCUUGGAGGGGAGGCCCAGGGGUCAGGUCCCUAGCUGGGGACCUCUCUGGGCGUCUGUUUUUUCUUGCAGGGAGCGGCUAGCGGCACGCAGCCUGCACGGUUGGGCCGGGCCCAGAGCCGAGUCCUGAAGCUGGUGGUUACUUUCCGGGGGGUGCUGAGCCGGCUGCGGCCGGGUCAUGUGCAGCGCGUAACUUGCGGGUAAGGUCACGGCGAAGCGUGGGAUGGACGUGGGAAUGUGGCGGCGGCACGCUGCGCGCUUUGAGGGAUUCACUCAGCGCCUCUGGAGUCCUGGCCAGGAGCCGGGGGCCUGGGCUGUCGGUCCCCUGGGCAGCCCUUCUCUGCCUGGGGGACUCAGCUCUCCUUCCCGCCCCUCCCCGCACGGCCCCAUGCCCUUGAGUGGGGUCUCUGGCCAGCGGGGAGGGAGGGGCUCUGGGCCAGGGGCUCUGAUUCCACUCCUGCCUCAGCCCUUGGCCCCGCGAGGAGGGAGGGCAGGACUGGGGCACCAUCUCCUUCCUCUGCUGGGUCCUGCUCCAUCCGGGAGGCCUCGUCUACGCGGUCACGUACCUCACGUCUACACAGUCACACAUUGCACAACCACAUUCCAGCUGACAACAGACGGCACCUGCAACUCUGCUCCCGGGGGUGAUUGUGGGGCAGCAACAUUCCCAUCACCUGGCCCCACGUCAGCCGGCUGCAGUGCGGUGGUGCCGUGAGAAGCCCCGCACAACCGGUCGGCACCAAGUCGAGGACACACGGUGAUAACCAGUCACCGACAGUGUCACCCAUCCACGGAUUUGCCAGUUAGUGUGCACUCUGGAUGGUUAGAAAAGGUGGCAGAAGCAGCCCCUUCUGUCUUGUGAGCCUUGCGUCUCUGCAUUGCAUCCGAGGCCGCACUGGCUGCGGGACCUGUGCCGUCUCAGGCCGUGUCCUGAAGGGCCGCGUGCAGAUUCACGCACGGGUGCGUGUCCAUGUGUCUGUCCACAGAGAGACCGCAUUGGAGGGUGCAGGCUGCAGCCUCGCUGGCCUCACAGCCCGCAGGGCCCUGGGCCGGCUGGAGAGCGGGCGGAGCGGGGCAGACGGACAUGAGUGUGAGAUGGGCAGGCCGGAAACUGGGCCGGGCUCUCCCGCUGCGGUCCCGGAGGCGGUCCGCUUAGCAAACCCAGGGCUGCGUCCUUGAGGCCCUGAGCGCUCGCCAAAGACUCCCUGAUGUUUUGAGAGGGGCUCUGCUUUCCUUGAAGCCCCCCUCCUGACUCAGCCGUUCAUCGCAGUGGAGAAGCGCCGGCCCGGCACCACGCAGACCGUGCCCACGAGUGGGCCGCAGCUUGGAUGCAGGGCCACCGCCACCUCCUGCCGCCCGAGCGAGAGGUCUGUGCUGGUCACGAGAUGGUGAUGGUGGCCUUGCUACCGCCCCAGGGCGAGUCCUGUUCCCACCUUCAUUUCCUACUUCUCAGCCCAGCCCCGAUCCUAUCUCUCAUGGUCAAGCCAGGCUGGAAACGGGAAUCCUUCCCAAGCCACGCCCAGGAGCUGGGCUGCACUGUCCUGGCCCGGGGGCCAUGGCCACCCAGGGCUCCAAGUCUGAAGCUGAAUGCAAGCAGGUUUAGCAGCUACCUGCUGAUGCGCCUGGGAAAGCAGUGGAAGAUGACCCAAGUGCUUGGGCUCCUGCACCCACAUGGGAGACCUGGAUGGAGCUCCUGACUCCUGAGUUUGGCUUGGCCCAGCCCGGGACGUUGUGGCCAACUGGGGAGUUAACCAGCAGAUGGAAGACUGCUCUCUGUCUCUGUCUCUCUCCCCGCCUCUCUCCAAAUGUGCCUUUCAAAUAAAUAAAUAAAUCUUAAUAUAUAUUAAAAUUAAUUUCAUCUAUUUUAGUUUGUAAAA